rnacentral:rRNA from 1 species
UGACGGUACCUUAGGAGGAAGCCCCGGCUAACUACGUGCCAGCAGCCGCGGUAAUACGUAGGGGGCAAGCGUUAUCCGGAAUCACUGGGCGUAAAGGGUGCGUAGGCGGCUUAGCAAGCCAGGGGUGAAAGGCAUUGGCUCAACCAAUGUAAGCCUUUGGAACUGUUAAGCUUGAGUGCAGGAGAGGUAAGUGGAAUUCCUAGUGUAGAGGUGAAAUUCGUAGAUAUUAGGAGGAACACCAGUGGCGAAGGCGACUUACUGGACUGUAACUGACGCUGAUGCACGAAAGCGUGGGUAGCGAACAGGAUUAGAUACCCUGGUAG